GCAUUGUGAGGAUGUGACCAUUGACAUCUUGUUCACCAGGAUGGAUUUACCCAAUUUGGUUGUCUAGGCAGAUGUCCCCUUCUUCUCUCAUCACUGCAUGUGUGGUCCUCCUGAAACAUGUUCACUUGAAGGCUCUGACCGUUUAGGACAGAGGAGGACCAUUUCUCAGUUCAAGCAUUAAGAGUAGCCCAGGGGAAAACUUAAGGCUUGUGAAUGGAGUGUGCAGGUAUCUCAGGAAGUAUAUGGCAAUCAUGCAACACUAUCACCAAGGAUAACUU
rnacentral:snRNA from 1 species